rnacentral:rRNA from 1 species
AGAACGAACGCUGGCGGCACGCCUAACACAUGCAAGUCGAGCGCCCAGCAAUGGGAGCGGCGGACGGGUGAGUAACACGUGGGAACAUGCCUUUCGGUACGGAACAACUGCGGGAAACUGCAGCUAAUGCCGUAUACGCCCUUACGGGGAAAGAUUUAUCGCCGAAAGAUUGGCCCGCGUCUGAUUAGCUAGUUGGUGAGGUAACGGCUCACCAAGGCUUCGAUCAGUAGCUGGUUUGAGAGAACGACCAGCCACAUUGGGACUGAGACACGGCCCAAACUCCUACGGGAGGCAGCAGUGGGGAAUCUUGGACAAUGGGGGAAACCCUGAUCCAGCGAUGCCGCGUGAGUGAUGAAGGCCUUCGGGUUGUAAAACUCUUUCGACGGGGACGAGUAAUGACGGUACCGUAGAAGAAGCUCCGGCUAACUUCGUGCCAGCGAGCCGC